AAUAAAAAGCAAGUUAUGUCCAAGAUAAACUGAAGUCCGUGGCAGCGCAGAGACCGCCCCCAAGCUCCCUUUUCACCGCCAUCGCAUAAUCUUUUGUAAAAAGAUCAUGAUUGCACCACAUUAUCCAGCAGGACGGACUGACCACUUAUAAACGACCUAAUGCUGCCCAGUGUGUUCUGCUUAUAAUUGAGGAUAACCUUUUCCCAUUUUAUCUUGGAGCUGAUCCAGUUAAUGUGGAGUCAUUUUCUUGCACAGAAAAUUUGCAUUGAGCUUUUUAUAUUUAUCAGUAAUAAUUGGGUCAGUUAUUCCAAGCACCAAAAAUAAAGGAUUAUUGUUUAAAUUGAUAGAAGUUGUUAAUCGUGACAAAUCAUUAGUGGCAAAGUUGCUUCCCUUUAGUAAAUGAUUUUACGUUUCUCAAAGCAUCUUUCCAUUCAUCAUCAGUAAUGUUGCAGUUAAGUUUCCUUUCCCACAAUUCCUUCAAGGUUUCCCUAAAUUGUGACAUUUUGAUGUAUUGUAAAAUGUGUGGGAAAAGUCCUUGUUUGAAACACUGAAUUUUCUAAUUGGUUGAUUAAGUAAGGUCAAGGUUAAGUUUUCCAAAGAGAUUUUGUGUUUUGGAUAUUCCUUUGUUAGUCCAACUUUUCCUGCCAUUAUUCUAGGUAAAAAUAAAAAAAAUCACCAUUAUCUCAAAUUUGUUAAAUGAUGUUAUCUUGUACUAAUGGCACAUAUGUUUACUGAAUUCUUCCGCUUCAUGGUGAUGUGAUUUACUAUAACAUUAACAUAAUGGAUUUAAAUUGUAUUGGUUUCUUUGUCUACAUCUACCACAUCUCAUCUUUAUAGUCCAAUCUUUGAAGUCUUCAAUUUCAAAUAAAUAAAAAUGUGGUCUCAUAGAAAACAAAGUUUUGGCUGGAUUUAGCUGGAGUUUGACAUAUAUUUGUAUUUUAGCUGCAAACUGGGACAAGACUAUCUCCAAUUCAGACAACCAGAGUGAAGUUAAUGACUCAACCUUCCAUCCUGCUGGGCCACCAGAGUCACCAAUCAAUACUAAUCCUGCAGGAUCAAAUGACAUCUUCCAGUGUGAUGCACAGAAUCCUGCGCAGACAUCAGAACGGUGUUCUGUUCCAGUAGGACCUGGUGGUGUGCUUCUCAUUUUGUAAAGGCUCUUUAAAUUUAAUUGAAUUUUGCAGUCAGUCACUUGCAGAUUCUGAAUGCCAUGAAUGUUAAAGGUUGAGAGAUAUAAGCAACUGACUCAGACUUAUUUAAUUGACUUCCCACCAGACAUUUCCCAGUCAAGAGCAGAGGGUCCUGUGAUAUUCUUCUGGUGUUUUUUCCACACACAAACAUAUUUUAACCUGAUAUUUGUGGCUUUGCAAAAUAAAUUGAAUGCUAAAAUUUCUCAAA